rnacentral:misc_RNA from 1 species
UGGCAGCUGCUACUGGGGUUCUAG